rnacentral:rRNA from 1 species
GACGAACGCUGGCGGCGUGCCUAAUACAUGCAAGUCGAGCGGACGGAUGGGAGCUUGCUCCCAGACCGUCAGCGGCGGACGGGUGAGUAACACGUGGGCAACCUGCCUGUAAGGCUGGGAUAACUCCGGGAAACCGGGGCUAAUACCGGAUAACUCUUUCCCUCACAUGAGGGAAAGCUGAAAGAUGGCAUCUCGCUAUCACUUACAGAUGGGCCCGCGGCGCAUUAGCUAGUUGGUGAGGUAACGGCUCACCAAGGCGACGAUGCGUAGCCGACCUGAGAGGGUGAUCGGCCACACUGGGACUGAGGCACGGCCCAGACUCCUACGGGAGGCAGCAGUAGGGAAUCUUCCGCAAUGGACGAAAGUCUGACGGAGCAACGCCGCGUGAGUGAUGAAGGUUUUCGGAUCGUAAAACUCUGUUGUCAGGGAAGAACAAGUACCGGAGUAACUGCCGGUACCUUGACGGUACCUGACCAGAAAGCCACGGCUAACUACGUG